ensembl:misc_RNA Metazoa_SRP Metazoan signal recognition particle RNA
GCCGGGCGUGGUGGUUCACGCCUGUAAUCCCAGCAUUUUGGGAGGCCGAGGUGGGUGGAUCACCUGAGGUCGGGAGUUUGAGACCAGCCUGACCAACAUGGAGAAACCCCAUCUCUA